UUCCGGUUGAUCCUGCCGGACCCGACUGCUAUCGGAUUGAGAUUUAGCCAUGCGAGUCGAACGCCUUCCUGUUGCGGGAGGCGUGGCGUACGGCUCAGUAACACGUAGUCAACCUGCCCUAGAGACAUGAAUAACCCCGGGAAACUGGGAUUAAUACAUGAUAGAUCAUCUCAUCUGGAAGGAGAGAUGGUUUAAAGGGGUGCGCGAGCUUCUUUUGUGCAUCCGCUCUAGGAUGGGACUGCGGCCGAUCAGGCUGUUGGUGGGGUAAUGGCCCACCAAACCUGUAACCGGUACGGGCCUUGAGAGAGGGGGCCCGGAGAUGGACACUGAGAGAAGGGUCCAGGUCCUACGGGGCGCAGCAGGCGCGAAACCUUCGCAAUGCGCGAAAGCGUGACGAGGUUAAUCCGAGUGGUUCCCGCUGAGGGAAUCUUUUGUUGGCUCUAAAAUGGCCAGUGAAUAAGGGGAGGGCAAGUCUGGUGUCAGCCCGCCGCGGUAAUACCAGCUCCUCGAGUGGUCGGGGCGAUUAUUGGGCCUAAAGCAUCCGUAGCCUGUUCUGUAGGUCUCCUGCUAAAUCCAACGGCUUAACCGUUGGCCUGCAGAAGAUACCGCAGGACUAGGAGGCGGGAGAGGUGGACGGUACUCCACGUGUAGGGGUAAAAUCCUUUGAUCCGUGGAAGACCACCAGUGGCGAAGGCGGUCCACCAGAACGCGCUCGACGGUGAGGGAUGAAAGCUGGGGGAGCGAACCGGAUUAGAUACCCGGGUAGUCCCAGCCGUAAACGAUGCGAGCUAGAUGAUCCAAUCGCAAAUCGCGAUUGGAGUGUCGCAGGGAAGCCGUUAAGCUCGCCGCCUGGGGAGUACGGUCGCAAGACUGAAACUUAAAGGAAUUGGCGGG
rnacentral:rRNA from 1 species